rnacentral:lncRNA from 1 species
AGUAAGAAGUGAAGAGGAAAGGAAAGAACACAAACCCUAGGUGGGAAAAUUGAAGAAAAAGUGUGGGAUUUCAAGGGAUUAAGCUAAUAAAGGUAAAAUUUUGUGAUUUUAUCUUGUGAUUUACAUUACCCAUGCUUUCUUUUUCAUUUUCCAUGCUUAGAACUCAAGUUUGCAUGAUGAACCCAUGCUGGCCGAAUUUGAAAGGAGAGGUUUUGAGCAUUGAUUUUGCUAGAUUUCAAGCUAAUUAAGUGUUUUUGGUUGUUUGGUAAUGGAAAGUAUGAAAAUCUAAUAAGGAAUCACUUUGUUCUUCACAAACCCACAAGAGGCCGAAUUUUUUAGGGACGAUAUUAAGGCUGAAAUUGAUGAUAUUUCAUAAUAUUUUGGUGGUAUUUAAUGAUUGGUGAGGCUAGAAAUUUAAUGAGAAAUUUUGACAUGAAAAUCUGAAUUUUUAUCUAAUGUAUAGACAUGUGCAAUUUAUGGUUUGGACUGAUAAAUUGAAUCAUAUUCACAGUCAUUGAGGUAUUUUAAGUAUAAUUGGAGUGUAGAAAGUGAAAGAAAUCGAUUUGGAGUUAAAUUGGAGGUUUUAGCCAAUUACAUUGAGAAUAGUGCGAAUUAGGUCGAAUAUCGUAUUUAAACGGCUAUUCGGACAUUUUGCAUCACAUUUCGUGCAUUCAUAUAGAUUUAUAGAGCCUGAAAUAGUUUAUGAUAAAUUGACACAAUUUAUUAAACUUCGUGUCACGUAUGAUGUAUAGGUGGUGAGCCCUCUAAUAAGGGUAAAGAGAUUGUGCCCGAAGAUCAGGAAUAGGAGUAUAUCGAAUUCCUAGUACUGUGAGUAACCUUACUAUCAUCUUAAUUAUCUAAAGUGAUUUUUAUUCAAUUUUGUGAAUUUUAUGAAAAAUGAAUUAAAUGAUUAAUUUUUUGAUUUUAUAAACAAAAUGUGAUUUAAUGAAAUGAUUUCAUAAAAUUGUUUUAAAAUUGAAUGAUGGUUUGAAAAUAGAGUAAUUGGAGACCAUUUGAUGUAUUGUGAAUUUAUGGUUCUAAUUGAUUGGCUUAUGACAAUAUUGGCAUGAAUGGCUGAAUUGGUAUUUGUGUUGAAAUGAAUAAACUGUUAUUUGCCUUGAUAGGCUAGAUAAUGAUAAAAUUGCCAUGUCAUACUGUUGAAUUUUUAUUGUAUGGUGGGAUAUUGAUUAGCUUACUACAGUGGGCGGGUUCCGUGGACCAGCCUAUUAGAGGGGCACGGUAACCCCGUUAUAUCUUAUCUCAGUAUGAGAGGCAUGGGUGGAUAACUCCUGAGGUUAACACUUUUAGAGUUCACUUCACAUCAAACCAUCACGUGAGGGGAAACUCAGCCAACGCCAAGGAACGACUAUGUUUUCAAAAUAAAAACAUAAUUUAUGUGUACAUGACUUUUUAACAGCCUUGGCGGACUCGGUUGGGAUAGCCUUCGAUCAAGGUAUCCUUGAUAACUGGGUAUGAGAAUGAUUUUGGCACGAGCCAAAGCUUUUAAGAAAUUCAUAAGCCAUAUUAAUUACUCGAUUUAUAUGAAUUGAUUUUAUUUGGUUAAAACAAAGUGAAAGGUGAUGAAUUUCAAUACGUUAAACUAUUUUAUCUGUCUCCAUUUACUCAACUUUAGAUGGUUUAGAUGGUAUCUGUUUACUCACUGAGAUUUUAUAAUCUCACCACCCUCAUUUUCAAUAAUUUCAGGCUCGAGGUAGCCUGUGGAUAGCAGAUAUCGUCAAGGAUUAUAGUUGGCUUUACUACUUCAAAAAAAACUAUAGGUUUACUACCUUUGUGCACUUUUGUUCCUUGUGGGCCCACGAGUCACUGUAAAAUAAAUUUAAUAUCUUGGUUAUCUGUAUUAUAGUACGUAUGAAUUUAUUUAUCUUUUACAUUACAAAAAAAUUAUUUA